CUCAACACUCCUGAAAGGGUCUCAGGGACCCCUGGGGUCCCCGGAUCAUACUUUGAAAUCUGUUGCUAUGAGGGAUACAAGACACAGGAAACUCAGACCCUGUCCAAGGUGGAGACUGAACAUGUCUUGCACCCUGCUCUCUGUUAGGUAUCGUCAUGCUGAGUCAUCCCAACAAACCCAUGAGGUAGGCGCUGUUAUACACAGGGACAAGUAAGGAAACCGAGGCUCUGAGAGGUCACACAGUUUCUAGCUGGCAGAACUUGUACUCAGCAUCACCACCACCGGUGAAGGCUGGCACUCAGCCAACACCUGCUACGUGCCAGAGAGCCUGUGCUAAGCACUUGGGUAUCAUUUCUCACGCACGUGCACCUGAGAGGUAAGGGCUAUCCUUGUCCUCAUUUCACAGUUGAAGAAACUGGAGUUCAAAGAGGUGAAGACACUUACUCAAAAUCACAGAGUUGGGGGGAUUCUGGCUGGUUUAGGGUAUCAGGAGCCAAGGCCACUGGGGCAUGGGUAGGAGUCCUUGAGGAGAGCAAGAGACCACCAGGAGAAACGGAGCUUUAGCGCUCUGGAGACAGCAGGCCCAGCUUGGGACUGUAAAGUCUGCAAGAGCAAGGCUCCAGGUCUGUAUGUGUGAAGUCCCAGCACAGUGUCUGGCCUGUGGAAGACCCUUGAUCAAUGUUUGUAGAGGGAGUGAGGGGACUGCAAGGGUCUUGCUCUAUCAUCAAGACUGGAGUGCAGUAGUGUGAUCAUAGUUCACUGCAGCCUCAAACUCCUGGGCUCAAGCGAUCCUCCCGACUCACAACCUCCUGGAAUUUUUUGAUGGUCAUUGGGCCCAGAAGCUAAUAGAAGAUAUGGUUCUUGCCCUUGGAAAGAAGCUGACUGGUUUGGGGAAGAAGAUUUGCAUGUGUGAAACCACAACAAAGUGUCUAGGAAUGAAGACAAAUUUGUGCUAAGUGGUGUGGAGUUGACCACAAGCCACAAGGGGGUCUAUGUAGGAGGGUACAGGAGAGGGACAGGCCCACCAGGGAGUAUCCCAGAGGAAGUGGGAAUAGAGCUGGAUUCUGAAGGAUUUGGAAGGAGAAGAAAGAAGCAAAGUCUUUUAAGGGUAAAGAAGGACAUGAACAAAGUGGGUGGUGGUGACAAUAUCUCUGCAGAGACUGAGGGAUGGAAAACAGACCGGUUCUUCUUCAGACAAUGGAAAAACUCUCUGCUGAGAAAUACUUGUUGGCAAAAACCUUUCAAAGUCCCCAUUCUUGGAUCUGACUCGGCUUCACCAUUUCUCUAACCACCAGCCAAAUCUAGGCGCUCUUUUCCUCGUUUCCGGAUUCUUUUUUAAAAUUAAAAAUUUAAAUUUAUUAAUU
rnacentral:lncRNA from 1 species